rnacentral:rRNA from 1 species
UAGGAAUCUUCCACAAUGGACGCAAGUCUGAUGGAGCAACGCCGCGUGAGUGAAGAAGGUUUUCGGACCGUAAAGCUCUGUUGUUGGUGAAGAAGGAUAGAGGUAGUAACUGGCCUUUAUUUGACGGUAAUCAACCAGAAAGUCACGGCUAACUACGUGCCAGCAGCCGCGGUAAUACGUAGGUGGCAAGCGUUGUCCGGAUUUAUUGGGCGUAAAGCGAGCGCAGGCGGAAGAAUAAGUCUGAUGUGAAAGCCCUCGGCUUAACCGAGGAAUUGCAUCGGAAACUGUUUU